rnacentral:lncRNA from 13 species
CAAAGUGAUCUAGCAGUCCUCCCUCAACAGAUUCUCCAAAAUGGCCAUCAUCAGGAGCUAUGGGUCAUUCAGACGCUAUGGUGCUGAGUCUGUGCCAUCACAAAACCAAAGUCACUCUCUACAGCUACAGGAGAGCCUCUCGUGGACAGGAACCAAGAUUCACCCUAGUAUUGCCACAAGCCUGGACUCACGGGGUAUGAUGGGUGCUUAGAAGCAAUGGUUUUUCUCAAGCAAGUGCCUUCCUGCGUAUUUCACUGCCCUUGAGAAGCUGGAUGCUGCCAGAGGGAGGGAAGCCAUGAGAACAGGCUGCUAUUCACUCAACUCUUCUUGACCUUGGAGAUCUUUUUUAAUGUGUGGGAAAAUAACACAAAAUAUUCCUGACAGUUUUGUGUAUUUUCCUUGCUGGUGGAUGUAAGCAAGAUGCUUUCUAUUACUAAAUGUACCCAAGCCCCAGCCUGUGGCUAUCAAGAAGGUUAUGUCAACAUAAAAGUCACAUUUUAAUUUUCUGUCACCCCAUACCCGCCUGCUGAUUCAGGAUCUUAGCCUGGCCACCCGGCUUCUCCCACCGCCCCCAAUGUUUCUGGGACUGCCUGGAGCAGCUUGGAUGCUCUGUGGCUCAGCUCCAUCACAGUCUUCGGUCCAGCUGCUGUUAUGCUCCUUGUGGGGAGGCCCUGCUCUGCUGUCCCUUCACCUGGCGGUCUCCAGCGGGGCUGCUGAGGCUGUCUCCGGAGCUCCUGAAGAGGCAAGUCUGUUGAAGGAGAGAAUGGCGUGA